CGAACCAAAUCGUCAGUUGUCCCCUUGACUAGAAAAGUUUAACCACGCCUCAUGAGAAAAUCUCCCCGUUGGGGAAUAUUGUCGAAUACCUGGCGUGUGUCAGAGGCCAGUCCAAAGAAAGAAAACUAGAACUAAACUAAAAAACUAAAACUAAAGCCCUAGAUAUCUUUUGCUUCUGUACGUUAUCCCCUUCUAAAGCAACAAAAGAAAGAUGACUAAAAGCUAUCUAGGUGGUCCCCACACAUGUGGACAAAGCCUCCCAAGUACUUUUGUUCCAAGUCUCUCUACGUUGCUUUCUUUGAAGCCCAAAUGACCAAAUGCCUUUCACUAGCUUGUGGUCCCCCACCAAUUCAAGGGCCCAAGGAUUGAAACCCUUAGAAGUCUCCAUAUUUUUCACAAAGUCCCUCCUUUUUGGUAGUUUUCUGCUUCAUUCCUGAAAUUGAUUCCAAAUACCAAAUAUGAGUAAAUAUC
rnacentral:lncRNA from 1 species